GAUCACUCGAGAGGAGCCGGGAGAGCCAGUUCCCGGGGCGUGGGGUGCGCUGAAACUCCUGUCCUGCCGGACUCCUCGACCCAGCUCUCGGCAGGGCGCGGGCGGGGACGAGAUGUUUCCGUCCCCACGGGGCCGAGGGGGGAGGGCGGGGCGGAGUGGGGAGGACGGAAUGUGCUGGGGCUUGAGCCCAGGGCGGGCGAAGGCAGGCGGCCGGCGCGGCGGGUGGGGGAGGGGUCGCCCCGGAAGCCGGGGCGUCCUGGGGUCCCACCGCCGGGCCUUCCAGGACCGAAAAGUGUUGGGAUACGCAGGUUUUCGGAAUCUUGGGGGAGGCAUCUUGAAAGCCUCAGGAUUCUAGAAUCUCAACACUGUGGAAUCUCAGACUUGGUCUUCGGGAGACCUAACACUAGAACGUUUAAGAAUCGCAGAACUGUAGAUUCUGGGUUUCCGGGCCCCUUGAAUCUCGAAUACCAAAAUCUUGGCCUGUCGGGAUUCGAGAGGCUCGGGAUUGCGGAAUCUCGGCUUCUGAGCGGUGGAAACUCGCGGUCUCUCGCCCCAGGCGGGGUGGGAGUCGGCGAUCGCGAGGCCAGGGAGGGUGGGUUUCGGUCGGGGCGGGGCUCCCGGGAGGGCCGCGUCCUCGGACCAUACAAGGCCAAGAGGCGGCGGGAACCACCCUGGGGCGGAGGAGCCCGGCGCACCGAGCCCGGAAGCUGCCUAGCGUCAGCGCCUGCGCCCCGCCCCUUUCCGCCGCGGCCUCCUCCCGCUUCGACCCCUGUUUCUCUCCUUGCCCCUGCUUUUCCUCUACCCCAUCUUCCCUCUCCUCUCCCCAACUCACCCCUCCUCCUCCCUUUCAGUUCCUCGUCGCCAGACCCUCCUGCGCCACCCUUCCCCUCCCCUACUUCCCCACCCUCUCCAGUUCUUCCCCUCCCCCCAGCACUUCUCGCCCUUUCCUCUUUUUACUUUCCUUUCCUUCUUUCCCCCCAUCCUCCGUCCUCUGUCCCCUGUUCUCUUCACUUCCAGUUCCCUCCCCUUUCUCGCUCCCUUUCCUUUCCACUCUGCUCUCCCUGCCCACACUCUUCUUCCCCUUGGUUCCAUCUUCUCCUCGCCCCAUUUCUGCCCGACCCCAUUCCCUCUUAG
rnacentral:lncRNA from 1 species